rnacentral:sRNA from 1 species
UCUCCUUCCUUGGGGUUCUGCUGCUCCUGGUGUGUACUCCACUGGGUCUCGCCCGCAUGUUCUCCGUCACUGGGAAGCUGCUAGUCAAGCCCCGGCUGCUGGAAGACCUGGAGGAGCAGCUGUACUGCUCAGCCUUUGAGGAGGCAGCCCUGACCCGCAGGAUCUGUAAUCCUACUUCCUGCUGGCUGCCUUUAGACAUGGAGCUGCUACACAGACAGGUCCUGGCUCUGCAGACACAGAGGGUCCUGCUGGAGAAGAGGCGGAAGGCUUCAGCCUGGCAACGGAACCUGGGCUACCCCCUGGCUAUGCUGUGCUUGCUGGUGCUGACGGGCCUGUCUGUGCUCAUUGUGGCCAUCCACAUCCUGGAGCUGCUCAUCGAUGAGGCUGCCAUGCCCCGAGGCAUGCAGGUUGUACUCAUCUUGUAUCCUUCUGGAAACCCAUCAUUGCCUCUGUUCAGCAAACCUGUCUCCUGGGACUCUAGACCGAGCACUCCUUUGGGACUCUGAGCAACGCUGAUGGGAAGUGGGGCAAGUUUUCAUCAACCUCAGGUUCA